rnacentral:rRNA from 1 species
UACGAAGGGUGCAAGCGUUAAUCGGAAUUACUGGGCGUAAAGCGCGCGUAGGUGGUUCAGUAAGUUGGAAGUGAAAUCCCCGGGCUCAACCUGGGAACUGCUUUCAAAACUGCUGAGCUAGAGUACGGUAGAGGGUGGUGGAAUUUCCUGUGUAGCGUUGAAAUGCGUAGAUAUAGGAAGGAACACCAGUGGCGAAGGCGACCACCUGGACUGAUACUGACACUGAGGUGCGAAAGCGUGGGGAGCAAACAGG